UACGUAGGCAGCAAGCGUUGUUCGGAGUUACUGGGCGUAAAGGGUGUGUAGGCGGUCGUUUAAGUUUGGUGUGAAAUCUCCCGGCUCAACUGGGAGGGUGCGCCGAAUACUGAAUGACUUCGAGUGCGGGAGAGGAUAGUGGAAUUCCUGGUGUAGCGGUGAAAUGCGUAGAUAUCAGGAGGAACACCGGUGGUGUAGACGGCUAUCUGGAUCGUAACUGACGCUGAGACACGAAAGCGUGGGUAGCAAACAGG
rnacentral:rRNA from 1 species